rnacentral:rRNA from 1 species
GACAGAGGGUGCAAACGUUGCUCGGAAUUACUGGGCGUAAAGGGCGUGUAGGCGGACAGGUAAGUCGGGCGUGAAAUCCCUGGGCUCAACCCAGGAACUGCACUCGAAACUACUUGUCUUGAGUGCCGGAGAGGAAAGCGGAAUUCCUGGUGUAGAGGUGAAAUUCGUAGAUAUCAGGAGGAACACCAGUGGCGAAGGCGGCCCCCUGGACCGGUACUGACGCUGAGGCGCGAAAGCGUGGGUAGCAAACGGG